rnacentral:rRNA from 1 species
AGCAGUAGCCGCGGUAAUACGUAGGUCCCGAGCGUUGUCCUGAUUUACUGGGCGUAAAGCGAGCGCAGGCGGUUAGAUAAGUCUGAAGUUAAAGGCUGUGGCUUAACCAUAGUACGCUUUGGAAACUGUUUAACUUGAGUGCAAGAGGGGAGAGUGGAAUUCCGUGUGUAGCGGUGAAAUGCGUAGAUAUAUGGAGGAACGCCGGUGGCGAAAGCGGCUCUCUGGCUUGUAACUGACGCUGAGGCUCGAAAGCGUGGGGAGCAAACAGGAUUAGAUACCCCUGUAGUCCCUGUCUCUUAUACA